UAAUACUAUGCAGAAUAUCGGACGUCACUGAGAAGCUGCAGCCGUGGCGGGAGGAUUUUAAGUGUGGCGGCCCGCCACGGGAGAAUGAAUGUAGAGGAAACACUGAGUAAUCAUAAUAAUU